AUGUUUCUUUGUAAGUUCAACACGUGUGGAAGUGUUUUUGAUACAGUGCUUAAGUUUAAUCAGCACAUUAAACUGCAUAAUAAUAGCGCUAAUUACGUAUAUCAGUGCGGUGUGCCAGAAUGCCCAAGAACAUACUUUAAACUUAGUGCCCUUAAAGCUCACAUGUACAGAGACCACAAAGCAGAUGGACCUUUAAGGAAUAGUCAGCCACUAUUAUGUGAUGCUACUCCUAUACAAUGUGACUUUUGUGCUGUAAGGUGUGAAUCUUCAUCUUUAGUUUGUCAUUUGAGGUCACACUUGCAAGAAGGAUUAGAAGUUCAAUGUCCAUUUAGAGGAUGUGAUAGCAAGUUCACUAUUGUGUCGAGUUUUGCAUCUCAUAUAUCUAGAAAACACAAAAAUGAGAGUGUUGUGCACAUAGAUCCCUCGAAUGUGGAAAGGUGUGUUGCCACAGAAUCUUUUCUUCAGUGUGCACCCUCUGAUCAUUCUGAUGAUGAGCCAGAAGAGACUCUUGCUGUUGAUGAAUCCCUCUUUCUGCAAAAUAUCACUCUCUUCUAUCUUAAACUUCAGGCUAAACUACUGUUACCUGCUACUACAAUACAGACUAUCAUUGAGGGAUAUCAGGAUGUCCAUGAUAUCAGUUUGACAAAUUUGCUUAACAACUUAAGUGACAAACUUACUGUCCUUGGAGUCCCAGAGGCCACAAUCAAUAACAUUAUGGUCGAACUCAGAAAAGAAGACCUCCUUUCUGCCUGUAACAGUGGACCUUUGAGCACAGACCAGAAAAGAAAGACAGCUUUUAAGAAACAUUUUAAUUAUGUUGAGCCUGUACCUCUGUUUUUAGGUAAUGAUGAUAAAGGUAGGGAAUCAUUUGCCCAGUAUGUACCUGUUCAAGAAACAUUGGCUACACUUUUUAAAAGCAAGUCUAUUCAAGAACAGUAUGCAGCAACACGUUCCAAGGCAUCAUCAGAUGGUCUUUUCCAGGACAUUAAUGAUGGAAAGGGAGCUCAGUGCAACCCUUUAUAUAAAAUGGAGCCAUCCUCGCUUGGUCUGAUACUCUAUCAGGAUGCGUUUGAAGUUGUCAAUCCACUUGGCUCUUCAAGAAAGAAACAUAAGAUUGUAGCAGUUUAUUUAACUCUGACAGAUAUUUUGCCUCAUAACAGAUCCACCACAGAUCAAAUGCAACUUGUUCUCUUGUGCAACGAGCAGGCCUUUAAAUAUUUUGGGAUAGACAAGGUAUUUGAGCCUCUCAUAAAAGACCUGAAAGCUCUUGAGGAGACUGGUAUUGUGAUAGGUGAUGGGCAAAUUGUCAAAGGUCGACUGUGUGCUAUCUCAGGUGACAAUUUAGGGUCUCACAGUAUCGGCGGUUUUGUUGAGAACUUCAGUAAGAGCCAUUACUUCUGCAGAUACUGUGAUGUAGAAAGAGCUACUUUUCAGAACUCUCCACUAUUGUGUGGCACCCCACGAACAGAACAGUCCUAUCAGACUCAUCUGCAGGAAUUACGCACCAGUGGCAGAAAUUCUGAGUGCGGCAUUAAAUCAGAUUCUCCAUUUAACCAACUAUCAUUCUUUCAUGUUUGCCAGCCUGGGCUGCCCCCAUGUCUUGGGCAUGACCUGUUUGAAGGCAUUGUUUCGAGUGACCUUGCUUUGUUUAUUGCUUAUUUAGUUAAGGAUAAACAUUUUAAUUAUCUACAUCUCAACAGGUGCAUAGAUCAGUUCAAGUAUCAGGGGAAUGAUGGCCACGACAAACCAGCUGAUGUUUCACCAGGUAGCAAUAAACUUACUGGACAUGCAGCCCAGAACUGGUGUUUCCUUCGUUUGCUACCCCUCCUGGUGGGAGAUAGGAUUAAGAAUCCAUGUGACAAUGCUGUUUGGCAACUUGUGCUCCAGCUUAGAGAAAUUGUAGAGCUAAUUUGUGCUCCAGCAAUUACAACAGAUCAGGUCGCUUAUCUUAAAAUACUCAUUGAGGAAUACAUAUACUUUCGAAGACAGCUCUUUCCUGAUCAGCCCCUGAAGCCCAAACACCACUAUCUGCUUCAUUAUCCACAGCUCAUUACAGAGUUUGGCCCCCUAAUUCGCCUUUGGACUCUCAGGUUCGAGAGUAAGCACUCUUUCUUCAAGAGAUGUGCUAGAAAGUUGCACAAUUUCAAAAACAUCUGCAAAACAGUUGCUGAGCGACACCAGCUCUUCCAAGCCUAUUUGAGUGCUGGUGAAAUGUUCCAGCCAAGUGUGUCAUUUGAUAAGGGCACAGCAUUCUAUGUAAAUGACUACAGUGACAAAAUCAGAGAGGCUGUGCUUGGAUUGAAUUUGGAAUUUAUAGAUACAGUAGCAUCUCAUGCUGUCACAGUGAAGGGCACUUCGUACAAAAAGGGCAUGUAUAUCUUGUUGGGAAAAACUGAUGAAGAAUUGGAGGUUGGCAAGAUAGAGCUGGUCAUUGUUCACCAUGGCUCUGUGUCCUUCAUCUCUGAAAAAUAUUUGUUUGUGAAGCUGAGUGACAUUGGGGUCUAUUGCAUAUUAGGGACAGCCCAAGAGCAGUUUGUUUGUGUGAGACAUGACGAUCUGCUUGAUUAUUAUCCUUUGCCAGCCUAUGAGAUGUGUGAUAUGCCAGUAAUCUCUCUCCAUCACUCGUUUGCAGAAACAUACUAA
ensembl:lncRNA